rnacentral:lncRNA from 1 species
GACCUCGCGAGCAACAUCCCGCGGUGUAACACAGGAAAUCUCGACAGGGGUGAAUGAUUAUUGGGCUUGAGGUGAUCACAUUUCAAAGCAUCUUUUCAUACUUACACAAUUAGAAAAUCCAAUCCUCAUCUUACAUGGAUUGCAUUGUACAAAAGUAAAGUAAAGAAAAAGUGUAUAUAUAUGCGUAUAUAUAUAUAUAUAUAUACAUAGCUCAACACGGUUCGGUGAUUGUUGAGACGAGUCUUGAGACAGAACUCAACUUCUUUAUUUACAGCGGAUUGUCUUGCCGCGAGAGAUGCCAAGUGAGGAGGACGGUGAAACCAGGGGCAUGUGGCCUUGGAUUCAGCGAGACCCAUCCAGCGCCCCCUGCAAUCUGAGUCAAAAUGACGCCGUCGCCUAGUGGGUCCGGCCAUGGCACGGCCAGCAAUCGAGAAAGCUCAGUCAGACUCUGGGCUGGCAAGGACACCUCCCUGUCUCUGAUCGGACUCCCACUCUCCGUCCGUGAGAUCGAAAAAUCCGCACCCCAAGUGCGAGUUCCUGCAGAAAAGACUGCGUUUGCAACAAAAUGGUUCUUCAGAAUUGGGUUUCGGCCUGUGUCGGCGUUGGACGAUGGAGCAACGGAAGGUCGCAGUCGGCUUUGAAUCCCAGGUGGGUGGGAUCGCAAGGCAUUCAAUGCAAUCACAAAGCAGUUCCAAGCUGGUUGCAAUUACAUUCUCCACAAACGAGGUACCACGUUCUCUAGAUGUAAAUCUUUCCACAUCUGACACGGCAUUUUGCAGCGCGAUGAUCGCAGCCACAGCGUGAACUUCCAGUACCUCAUUAAAAAGCUGAACCGAAUCACAAAUUUCUGCUGCAUAACUCUCGUCGGUAGCGUCGUUAAAUCUAACAACCCAUCCCGGCGAGCGAAGAGUUCCAGUUUGUGA